rnacentral:rRNA from 1 species
UUAGUGGAAGCGUCUGGAAAGGCGCGCGAUACAGGGUGACAGCCCCGUACACAAAAGCGCAUGUGCUGUGAGCUCGAUGAGUAGGGCGGGACACGUGGUAUCCUGUCUGAAUAUGGGGGGACCAUCCUCCAAGGCUAAAUACUCCUGACUGACCGAUAGUGAACCAGUACCGUGAGGGAAAGGCGAAAAGAACCCCGGCGAGGGGAGUGAAAAAGAACCUGAAACCGUGUACGUACAAGCAGUGGGAGCCCCACCACCAAAGCAUUCUCUGGUGUUGAAGGCCCUGCAAAGCAGCAUCGCGGUGGCGGAGCGUCGUUUGCGACGCCCAACACACAAAACAAGCGGUGAGUGCUUUGGGGUGGGGUGACUGCGUACCUUUUGUAUAAUGGGUCAGCGACUUAUAUUCUGUAGCAAGGUUAACCGAAUAGGGGAGCCGGAGGGAAACCGAGUCUUAAUUGGGCGUUAAGUUGCAGGGUAUAGACCCGAAACCCGGUGAUCUAGCCAUGGGCAGGUUGAAGGUUGGGUAACACUAACUGGAGGACCGAACCGACUAAUGUUGAAAAAUUAGCGGAUGACCUGUGGCUGGGGGUGAAAGGCCAAUCAAACCGGGAGAUAGCUGGUUCUCCCCGAAAGCUAUUUAGGUAGCGCCUCGUGAAUUCAUCUCCGGGGGUAGAGCACUGUUUCGGCUAGGGGGCCAUCCCGGCUUACCAACCCGAUGCAAACUGCGAAUACCGGAGAAUGUUAUCACGGGAGACACACGGCGGGUGCUAACGUCCGUCGUGAAGAGGGAAACAACCCAGACCGCCAGCUAAGGUCCCAAAGUCAUGGUUAAGUGGGAAACGAUGUGGGAAGGCCCAGACAGCCAGGAUGUUGGCUUAGAAGCAGCCAUCAUUUAAAGAAAGCGUAAUAGCUCACUGGUCGAGUCGGCCUGCGCGGAAGAUGUAACGGGGCUAAACCAUGCACCGAAGCUGCGGCAGCGA